UACGGAGGAUCCGAGCGUUAUCCGGAUUUAUUGGGUUUAAAGGGUGCGUAGGCGGCCUAUUAAGUCAGGGGUGAAAGACGGUAGCUUAACUAUCGCAGUGCCUUUGAUACUGAUAGGCUUGAAUGUACUUGAGGUAGGCGGAAUGUGACAAGUAGCGGUGAAAUGCAUAGAUAUGUCACAGAACACCAAUUGCGAAGGCAGCUUACUAAAGUAUGAUUGACGCUGAGGCACGAAAGCGUGGGUAGCAAACAGG
rnacentral:rRNA from 1 species